CCUACGGGGUGCAGCAGGCGCGAAAACUUUACAAUGCGAGAAAUCGUGAUAAGGGAACCCCGAGUGCCCGUAAAUUCGGGCUGUCCAUCAGUGUAAAUAACUGGUGAAGAAAGGGCCGGGCAAGACCGGUGCCAGCCGCCGCGGUAAUACCGGCGGCUCGAGUGGUGGCCGCUAUUACUGGGCUUAAAGCGUCCGUAGCUGGGUUGUUAAGUCUCCUGGGAAAUCUACCGGCUCAACCGAUGGGCGUUCAGGAGAUACUGGCAACCUAGGGACCGGGAGAGGUGAGGGGUACUCCAGGGGUAGGAGUGAAAUCCUGUAAUCCUUGGGGGACCACCUGUGGCGAAGGCGUCUCACCAGAACGGCUCCGACAGUGAGGGACGAAAGCUGGGGGAGCAAACCGGAUUAGAUACCCCGGUAGUCC
rnacentral:rRNA from 1 species